UACGUAGGGCGCAAGCGUUGUCCGGAAUUAUUGGGCGUAAAGAGCUCGUAGGCGGCUUGUCACGUCGGGUGUGAAAGCCCGGGGCUUAACCCCCGGGUCUGCAUUCGAUACGGGCAGGCUAGAGUGUGGUAGGGGGAGAUCGGAAUUCCUGGUGUAGCGGUGAAAUGCGCAGAUAUCAGGAGGAACACCGGUGGCGAAGGCGGUUCUCUGGGCAUGUCCUGACGCUGAGGAGCGAAAGUGUGGGGGAGCGAACAGG
rnacentral:rRNA from 1 species